rnacentral:lncRNA from 1 species
AUGAAGUUGGUAUUUUUUGUAGUCUCUCUUAACCAUGGUGUACUAUGUUAUGACUCAAUUUUUGUCCCACUCUGUGGAAGCGAGAAAAAGCCUGACUUCUGAAACUAUUGGGUAGUAGCUUAGCAGAUGAAAGAAAACAAUCUCUCAUCCUAAGGAAAGAGGAGAGCUAUGGGCGGAUCACACACAUCAACCACACUCUUCUCUCUCCGCUGUCUCCUCAGCCGUUCAUGUGGCAAAGGUGUUAUGUAGGCUAACACGUGCAAAGCUGUGCGCACAGUGUGCUGCUUGGCUGUGCGGAGCAGGUGCUUGCAAGGCAUCAGUGGGCCCAUGAAAAUGAGCUUCCCACCACUUGCUGUGCUAUGCUAGCUGGCUUGAUUUGUCUCAUUCACCAUUGAAUAAUACUGGUGCCUGCCUAUGGAGGUAUGGUGUACAGAACAGAGAAACAACACAGGCAAGAGGCUAUCUCAGUAUCCCAGAUGAGUUGCCCAACUUUCUACCUAAUUCUUCUGAGAACGUUAAUCCAGAUGAUCUCAUUGGUCCACCAAGCAACAACCUUCUUUCCAGUCCAUAGUUGAGGCUCACUUCUUCAGUUGUGCCCUCAAGAAAUGAGCAAACAAUUAUAUCUACAUUACUCUGGGGGGAAUUCUGCACCAAAAAAUUAAAAAUUCCGCAAAAAAUUAAAAAGUAUGUGCACAAUAUUUUAAAAUUCUGCAUAUUUUAUUUGUCAAAAUAACACAAUAUAAUCCCACCAGUUUCAAUUAUUUUUGGUCAUUUAUUUAAAAAUACUGUCAGCAUGUGUGUCUGUAACAAUACAGACCAACAAAAAAGAUUCAGGAAAUGUUUUUUGACAAAUAGAUUCCUAACUAGACAUAUUAAUUCAGAAUUCUGAGUAAUAAUUCAUUUAAACUACAAUACAGAACCAUUUCCCGCACCUCUCAGAAGCAGAGCAAAGGUUUGGGGGAGUCAGGGGUAAUGGAGGAGCUGAGGGAGAGGGAAGUAAAUUGCUGGGAAGAAGCCUGGGUGUGAACUUGGAGGGUUGUUGGGUCAGGGGUGGAAAUGUAUGCAAUGGGUGGUUGUUUUUGUUUUUUUUUUGUUUGGUGGGGAAGGGCAAGAAAGGAUUGUUAGGGAACUUCCCCCAUGCAGACCCUAGCUGACCCCUAGCCUCUCCCAUUGAGUCAGGAACAUCUGCUCCUGUCCCUGAUGUGUCCUUGCAC